GGACGAACGCUGGCGGCGUGCUUGACCCAUGCAAGUCGAACGGAAAGGCCCUGCUUUUGUGGGGUGCUCGAGUGGCGAACGGGUGAGUAACACGUGAGUAACCUGCCCUUGACUUUGGGAUAACUUCAGGAAACUGGGGCUAAUACCGGAUAGGAGCUCCUGCUGCAUGGUGGGGGUUGGAAAGUUUCGGCGGUUGGGGAUGGACUCGCGGCUUAUCAGCUUGUUGGUGGGGUAGUGGCUUACCAAGGCUUUGACGGGUAGCCGGCCUGAGAGGGUGACCGGCCACAUUGGGACUGAGAUACGGCCCAGACUCCUACGGGAGGCAGCAGUGGGGAAUAUUGCACAAUGGGCGGAAGCCUGAUGCAGCAACGCCGCGUGCGGGAUGACGGCCUUCGGGUUGUAAACCGCUUUCGCCUGUGACGAAGCGUGAGUGACGGUAAUGGGUAAAGAAGCACCGGCUAACUACGUG
rnacentral:rRNA from 1 species